CUACGGGCUGCAGCAGUGAGGAAUAUUGCACAAUGGAGGAAACUCUGAUGCAGCAACGCCGCGUGGAGGAUGACGCAUUUCGGUGUGUAAACUCCUUUUAUAUGUCAAGAAAAUGACGGUAGCAUAUGAAUAAGCACCGGCUAACUCCGUGCCAGCAGCCGCGGUAAUACGGAGGGUGCAAGCGUUACUCGGAAUCACUGGGCGUAAAGGACGCGUAGGCGGGAUAUCAAGUCAGGUGUGAAAUCCUACAGCUUAACUGUAGAACUGCACUUGAAACUGGUAAUCUAGAGUAUGGGAGGGGGGGAUGGAAUUAGUGGUGUAGGGGUAAAAUCCGUAGAUAUCACUAGGAAUACCUAAAGCGAAGGCGAUCUCCUGGAACAUAACUGACGCUAAGGCGUGAAAGCGUGGGGAGCAAACAGGAUUAGAUACCCCAGUAGUC
rnacentral:rRNA from 1 species